AACCUAGCACACCUGCGGUGUGUACCUGCGGAAGGAUCAUUACCGAGUUUACAACUCCCAAACCCCUGUGAACAUACCUUUAUGUUGCCUCGGCGGAUCAGCCCGCGCCCCGUAAAACGGGACGGCCCGCCGCAGGACCACAAAACUCUGAUUUUAGUGUAACUUCUGAGUCUAAAAAACAAAUAAAUCAAAACUUUCAACAACGGAUCU
rnacentral:misc_RNA from 1 species